UGAAUCGAGCAUCCAUCAGUCUGAGGUUUUAACGCGACAGCACCAAGGAUUUUUUAGCAUGAUAAACCUACCUCCACCUGGCUGCAGUUGGGCCUUUUUCGGAAUUGUAUUAUUUUAUUUUAUUUUAUUUUAUUUUAUUUUAUUAUUAUUUUUUUAUUAUUUUGUCUUUAUUUUUUAUUAGGUUAAAUUUACUGUACAGAUUUCUAAAAUAUGUAAAUAUUUGUUUAUUAAUGUAUAAUAAAUUAUUUUAGUGUUUUUUUUUUUCUUUUUUUGCUUUUGUUCAUUUGAAUUUUGAGACGAAAAAAACAAACGAUGAGUUCUGUUGUUUCCGAAGCAGCACUUUGUUUUU